rfam:Triticum aestivum genome assembly, contig: Triticum_aestivum_CS42_TGACv1_scaffold_030459_1BL
AAACUAUUAACUCCGUCCGGAAAUACUUGUCAUCAAAAUAGAUAAAAGGAGAUGUAUCGUAUUUUAGUUCUAGAUACAUCCCUUUUUAUCCAUUUUGAUGACAAGUAUUUUCGGACAGAGGAGUAAUUG